ACUAUUUUGGCAGAUUAAUGCAUUAAAUUUAGAAUUUAUUUAUGUAAUAUAAAUAUUACAAAUAGUA
rnacentral:tRNA from 1 species